rnacentral:tRNA from 2 species
GGGGGUAUGGUGAAAUUGGUAAACACGCUGGAUUCAAAAUCCAGUGCCGAAAGGCUUCUCGGUUCAAGUCCGAGUACCCCCACCA